rnacentral:rRNA from 1 species
CAGUCGAACGAAGCACUUUAUUUGAUUUCUUCGGAAUGAAGAUUUUGUGACUGAGUGGCGGACGGGUGAGUAACGCGUGGGUAACCUGCCUCAUACAGGGGGAUAACAGUUGGAAACGACUGCUAAUACCGCAUAAGCGCACGGGGUCGCAUGACCUGGUGUGAAAAACUCCGGUGGUAUGAGAUGGACCCGCGUCUGAUUAGCCAGUUGGUGGGGUAACGGCCUACCAAAGCGACGAUCAGUAGCCGACCUGAGAGGGUGACCGGCCACAUUGGGACUGAGACACGGCCCAAACUCCUACGGGAGGCAGCAGUGGGGAAUAUUGCACAAUGGGGGAAACCCUGAUGCAGCGACGCCGCGUGAGCGAAGAAGUAUUUCGGUAUGUAAAGCUCUAUCAGCAGGGAAGAAGAAAUGACGGUACCUGACUAAGAAGCACCGGCUAAAUACGUGCCAGCAGCCGCGGUAAUACGUAUGGUGCAAGCGUUAUCCGGAUUUACUGGGUGUAAAGGGAGCGCAGGCGGUACGGCAAGUCUGAUGUGAAAGCCCGGGGCUCAACCCCGGUACUGCAUUGGAAACUGUCGGACUAGAGUGUCGGAGGGGUAAGUGGAAUUCCUAGUGUAGCGGUGAAAUGCGUAGAUAUUAGGAGGAACACCAGUGGCGAAGGCGGCUUACUGGACGAUUACUGACGCUGAGGCUCGAAAGCGUGGGGAGCAAACAGGAUUAGAUACCCUGGUAGUCCACGCCG